GGUGGUUCUAUGCAAUGGUGGCUCUAUGCGGUGACAGUUCAUGGCGGCAAUGGUUCUGGGUUAUGGUGGCUCUGUGUGGUGGCGGUUCAGGGCGGGAGUGAUUCUGGGCGAUAGUGGCUCUGUGCAAUAGCUACUCUACAUUCAAUUGAGUUGGUGGCUUAGAGGGUCUCUAAGCGCAUUAGGAGGAUAUAAUGUGAAUGAGAUAGGUU
rnacentral:lncRNA from 1 species